rnacentral:rRNA from 1 species
AACGAACGCUGGCGGCAGGCCUAACACAUGCAAGUCGAGCGGACCUUUCGGGGUCAGCGGCGGACGGGUGAGUAACGCGUGGGAAUAUGCCCUUCUCUACGGAAUAGUCCUGGGAAACUGGGGGUAAUACCGUAUACGCCCUUUGGGGGAAAGAUUUAUCGGGGAAGGAUUAGCCCGCGUUGGAUUAGGUAGUUGGUGGGGUAAUGGCCUACCAAGCCGACGAUCCAUAGCUGGUUUGAGAGGAUGAUCAGCCACACCGGGACUGAGACACGGCCCAGACUCCUACGGGAGGCAGCAGUGGGGAAUCUUAGACAAUGGGGGCAACCCUGAUCUAGCCAUGCCGCGUGAGUGAUGAAGGCCUUAGGGUUGUAAAGCUCUUUCAGCUGGGAAGAUAAUGACGGUACCAGCAGAAGAAGCCCCGGCUAACUCCGUG